GUUAAGCCUACAGAUUUUUAAACAUGACUGCACUCACAGUCAUCAACGUGGAGGGGAGCUAUGAUGUCCUAACCCAACCUUUGCUCAGAGUGAAGCCACCAUGAGUGCUGAAGGCCAGCUCCUCAGUAUAGCAUCAUUAUUAAAAAUGCUGUGGACCUUAGAGAAAAACAUUACCAUCAGAGCUUAGUCACAGAGAAGCAGUUAGAUCUUCCUGAAGUCCAUCAAUGACAGCAGAUCAUGUCAUUGGAUACUUCAGAAAAUGAAUAUCUCUUGAAGUGCAUGGAGU